rnacentral:lncRNA from 1 species
CCGCGCCUCCGGCUGGGGCUCCGAGUCGGGCUUCGAGAGGGACAGCGGAGGCCCUCCGCCGAGGGACGGUCGGCGCCAACCGAGGUUCCUGAGCAAAAGAGAAAAGGAGGUUUGACCAUGAGGCUUGGAGAAGGGAGAAGGGCUGGGGAGUACGGCAAGCAUCAGCUCUUGGUGAUGCUGACGCUACCAGUUUGAGGACCACACUUUGAGAAACAAGGUUCUAGACUUUGACCUUCACUGCACAGGCUUACAAGACUGGUAAGUCUGAUUAAGAGAUCUUUUAGGAAUAGACUCAUAUUAACUAAGCUUACAAGCUUGCUGUAGAAAUCUAGAAAUCUAAUUUGUUAAUAUGUUAAUGAGAAAAAUGAAAUGUACGGACCCAUAAUCAUCUGCUGUUCCUAAGACAUGCCACCUGAGACGCCAAAUUAGAGCGCAGGAUAAGAAUGGACAGGAGACUGUAAAAGAUUGUUGUGUGUAUAGUUGGUUCAAAGAUUUCAGGCUAAUAGAGAUUUUCUAGCUGUCACUGCACUGGAGUGGUGGUUUUAAAAUGUACCUGGGAUUU